rnacentral:rRNA from 1 species
UACGUAGGGUGCGAGCGUUGUCCGGAAUUAUUGGGCGUAAAGAGCUCGUAGGCGGUUUGUCACGUCUGCUGUGAAAUCCCGAGGCUCAACCUCGGGCCUGCAGUGGGUACGGGCAGACUGGAGUGCGGUAGGGGAGAAUGGAAUUCCUGGUGUAGCGGUGGAAUGCGCAGAUAUCAGGAGGAACACCGAUGGCGAAGGCAGUUCUCUGGGCCGUAACUGACGCUGAGGAGCGAAAGCGUGGGUAGCAAACAGG